rnacentral:sRNA from 1 species
UUGACAGACCCAGUGAUUAAAAUCCUCAGUUUAUCCAUAGAAUAGGGACAGCAUGGGCAAGGCAUGUUUCCUCAAACUGCCCCAUCAACAUGUCUCAAGCUGGAGAGACCAUUAUACAGAUGAGAGAGUAAUUCACUUGUAUGCUCAUUCAGUCCUUGGACUUCA